rnacentral:tRNA from 1 species
GCCCGGGUGGUGGAAUUGGUAGACGCAGCGGACUCAAAAUCCGCCGCCGCAAGGCGUGCCGGUUCGAUUCCGGCCCCGGGCA